AAAGCGUGCGCAGGCGGUUUGUAAGACUGUCGUGAAAUCCCCGGGCUCAACCUGGGAAUGGCGAUGGUGACUGCAAGGCUAGAGUUUGGCAGAGGGGGGUAGAAUUCCACGUGUAGCAGUGAAAUGCGUAGAUAUGUGGAGGAACACCGAUGGCGAAGGCAGCCCCCUGGGUCAAAACUGACGCUCAUGCACGAAAGCGUGGGGAGCAAACAGGAUUAGAUACCCCUAGU
rnacentral:rRNA from 1 species